rnacentral:rRNA from 1 species
UACGGAGGGUGCGAGCGUUGUCCGGAAUCAUUGGGCGUAAAGGGCGCGUAGGUGGCCCGGUCAGUCCGUGGUGAAAGCGCGGGGCUCAACCCUGCGUCGGCCAUGGAUACUGCCGCGGCUGGAGCACUGUAGAGGCAGGCGGAAUUCCGGGUGUAGCGGUGGAAUGCGUAGAGAUCCGGAAGAACACCGGUGGCGAAGGCGGCCUGCUGGGCAGUAGCCGAAAGGCUUUCAAGCUGACACUGAGGCGCGACAGCGUGGGGAGCAACAGG